AAAAACAUGUUCUGAGAAGAAUUGAUGAAGUAAUUAUAACAAAUAUUAGCUAUUUUUGAUCCUCUUCUCCGUCGCCCAUCUGUAUGGGCUCGCCCUCACCGUUCUCACCAAACUCGCCGCUGCCGCCCACGGCUGACAAAACCGAGUUUUCAGGCCGUGCGAUUGGGAAGGCGGCGGCAGCGGAGGUUGUCCACCGGUGAGGAAUAGAGAGAGACGGUGUUCGUCGGAACGGAGGGCGGUGUGAAUUUGGUGGAGCUGGAUGGGUCCGCGGUGGUCGGGAUUUGCUUCGCCACUAAGGUUGCUUGCUCCAAAUCUGUAAUUGACUGUAAAUCCACUUCGUUUUCGUCUUUGAGACCACAAAUAUCAAAAUCCGUCAGAUAUUGCAGAAAAUUAUACAGAUUUGCUUGUGCCCAGAAGAAGAAAAAAAAAAAAAAAAAAAAAAAGAAAACUGAACUGUUAUUGAGUGGGAUUUGAAGGGCUUGAUAAGAUUUUGGAGUGGGAUUUGAAGGGCUUGAUAAGAUUUCGGAGGAAGCUUUUGAUUUAAUCAUCUACAGUUGUUACCAUUUAUGUGGAGAAUUUUUUUGUAGGAUUAAUUAGUAAUAUGAAUGAAUGUAUUUUCCAUUGUAAUCUGAAGAAAUUCAUGAAAUUGCGUGUGAAAUUUAAUUUACGAAGCAGGUCAGAGUUGUUUAUGUCUUGGGUAGGGUUUUUUUUUUCAAGGUGGUGGUGCGGUGGCGGAGCAGAUGUGGUGGUGGUGUAAAAAUCUCCCGUCCCCUGUUUGGCAGCAAGAGGAGAGAGGAAGAAGAUGAUGG
rnacentral:lncRNA from 1 species